rnacentral:rRNA from 1 species
CCACACUGGGACUGAGACACGGCCCAGACUCCUACGGGAGGCAGCAGUGGGGAAUCUUGCGCAAUGGGCGAAAGCCUGACGCAGCGACGCCGUGUGGGGGACGAAGGCCUUCGGGUUGUAAACCCCUGUCAGGCGGAACGAAUCCCCCAAGGACGAAUACUCCUUGGGGUUGACGGUACCGCCAGAGGAAGCCCCGGCUAACUACGUGCCAGCAGCCGCGGUAAUACGUAGGGGGCGAGCGUUGCUCGGAUUUACUGGGCGUAAAGAGCGCGUAGGCGGCCAGGGAAGUCUGGUGUGAAAGCCCUCGGCUCAACCGAGGACCCGCAUCAGAAACUGCCUGGCUUGAGUCCAGGAGGGGAGGGUGGAAUUCCCGGUGUAGCGGUGAAAUGCGUAGAGAUCGGGAGGAACACCAGUGGCGAAGGCGGCCCUCUGGAAUGGUACUGACGCUGAGGCGCGAAAGCUGGGGGAGCGAACGGGAUUAGAUANACCGGUAGUCCCAGCCGUAAACGAUGGGCAAUAGGUGUGGGAGGUAUUGACCCCUUCCGUGCCGCAGCUAACGCAUUAAGUGCCCCGCCUGGGGAGUACGACCGCAAGGUUGAAACUCAAAGGAAUUGACGGGGGCCCGCACAAGCGGUGGAGCAUGUGGUUUAAUUCGACGCAACGCGAAGAACCUUACCAGGGCUUGACAUGCCGGUAGUACUAACCCGAAAGGGAAGGGAUCCCGCAAGGGAAGCCGGCACAGGUGGUGCAUGGCUGUCGUCAGCUCGUGUCGUGAGAUGUUGGGUUAAGUCCCGCAACGAGCGCAACCCUCACCCUCUGUUGCCAGCGGGUCAUGCCGGGUACUCUGAGGGAACUGCCCCGGUCAACGGGGAGGAAGGCGGGGACGACGUCAAGUCAUCAUGCCCCUUACGUCCUGGGCUACACACGUGCUACAAUGGCCGGUACAAAGGGCUGCAAACCCGCGAGGGGGAGCUAAUCCCAGAAAGCCGGUCUAAGUUCGGAUUGCAGGCUGCAACUCGCCUGCAUGAAGGAGGAAUCGCUAGUAAUCGCGCAUCAGCACGGCGCGGUGAAUACGUUCCCGGGCCUUGUACACACCGCCCGUCACACCACGAAAACCGGCUGUACUCAAAGUCGCUGCACUAACCCGCAAGGGAGGUAGGCGCCUUAAGAUAUGGUCG